CGCUACGGACUUAAAAUCCGUCGACUUUAUAAGUCGUGAGGGUUCAAGUCCCUCUAUCCCCA
rnacentral:tRNA from 24 species